GUACUCUUAGAAGCUGAUUUGGAAGGUAUUCUAACCUGAGCGAGAGUGCGAACGAGCCUUGGAUCGUCGUGAGCUGACUUGUGAGAGCUCUUGGAGACUUAUCUUGAGCAGCAUUGGGGCUUCGUUAAGACGAUUUUGGGACCUCUUUUGGACUGCUUGGAGCUUAGUAAUAGGUGGGUCGGACCUAACCAGAGCAAGUGAAGCUCCUCUAUGUUCUAUAUGUAUUAUAGAAAUGUGUUAGUUGUGUGCUUAUGUGAUAGCUAAAGGGCUUGAGAAUUCGUCAUCAUAACAUUUACUAUAUUGACAUAGAAUCUCUAUGAAGUAGAGAAUCCUCACGCCUAAAUGUAUUCAUAUUCCUGUUUGGUUUAGUUGAAUAACAAUG